rnacentral:lncRNA from 1 species
CGGCUUCCCCGCUCUGGCUUCCCCGCCCCGCGCCCAUCCGUGCACCGCCCGGGGCCCGCCGCCGCCGCGCACACCCCGCAGAGGAGCACAGAAUAGCCUGAGCUGGAAGGGACCCACACGCGAGCACGACCCUUAGCUCUGCACAGGACAUCCCCAAGAAUCGCUCCGUGUGCCUGAGAGCGUUGCCCGAACGCUUCUGUGGUUCUGGUUCGCCGUGGCUCUGGCCACAACGGUGCUGGUGCAAGCCCACGUUGGUUGUUGUAGCUGGAACACGGAGGAGCAGGCAGAGCACAGUGGCAGAAAUAUCUUCUGGUGGGGUGGAAAAAGGCUGUCCUCAGGUGAAGUUCUUGGCUUGUAUUAGGGAACAGUCACAGCCUGCUUGAGAGGAGAGGCAGGAGAGAGCUCUCACAAGUCCCAUCCUUGCACCAUCCCUUUCUGCUGCUGUGGAGAGAGAGAAGAUCGGCUUGGGAAAGACCAUUCUGGGGGAAAUUGUUCUGUCAAAUACAUCUUAUGAUGAACAGUACAAAGGGUGCCCGGACUUCAAGAUUAGAGCUCCCAGCUGAUCUGCACUGACCCCAGUGAGGGAGGAGAUUGUCAUAUACAGGCAUGCUUUACUUUAUACACCUAGACCAGCUGAAAUUCGAGGUCUUUGCAGGAUGGAGGACUCAUUCACUUUCAAAUAAUCUGUCCUGGAAUCUAUAUCCCAGAAGAAACACUGACCAAACAGGUAAAGAGUGGAAAUUACUAUUUCUUAUGGAAAAAAUGUGCUUUUCUCCUCCUCCUUGUUUUCCUCUUGACACAUUUACUGCUUAUUCAUCUGCCUCAGCACCUUGUUGUAUCCUGAUGUAGACUUUGUAAACUUGCUGGGUCAGAAUCUCUUUUCUUAUUAAUUUAAUAAAACCAAAGAAACUUGUAAAAAAGCCCGUGAU